UGGGGAAUAUUGCACAAUGGAGGGAACUCUGAUGCAGCGACGCCGCGUGAACGAAGAAGGCUUUCGAGUCGUAAAGUUCUUUUAUAUGGGAAGAUAAUGACGGUACCAUAAGAAAAAGCCCCGGCUAACUACGUGCCAGCAGCCGCGGUAAUACGUAGGGGGCUAGCGUUGUCCGGAAUCACUGGGCGUAAAGGGUUCGCAGGCGGAAAUGCAAGUCAGGUGUAAAAGGCAGUAGCUUAACUACUGUAAGCAUUUGAAACUGCAUAUCUUGAGAAGAGUAGAGGUAAGUGGAAUUUUUAGUGGUGCGGUGAAAUGCGUAGAUAUUAAAAAGAAUACCGGUGGCGAAGGCGACUUACUGGGCUCAUUCUGUCGCUGAGGAACGAAAGCGUGGGUAGCAAACAGG
rnacentral:rRNA from 1 species